rnacentral:rRNA from 1 species
AUUGAACGCUGGCGGCAGGCUUAACACAUGCAAGUCGAGCGGAGAUGAGGUGCUUGCACCUUAUCUUAGCGGCGGACGGGUGAGUAAUGCUUAGGAAUCUGCCUAUUAGUGGGGGACAACAUUCCGAAAGGAAUGCUAAUACCGCAUACGUCCUACGGGAGAAAGCAGGGGAUCUUCGGACCUUGCGCUAAUAGAUGAGCCUAAGUCGGAUUAGCUAGUUGGUGGGGUAAAGGCCUACCAAGGCGACGAUCUGUAGCGGGUCUGAGAGGAUGGUCCGCCACACUGGGAAUGAGACACGGCCCAGACUCCUACGGGAGGCAGCAGUGGGGAAUAUUGGACAAUGGGGGGAACCCUGAUCCAGCCAUGCCGCGUGUGUGAAGAAGGCCUUAUGGUUGUAAAGCACUUUAAGCGAGGAGGAGGCUACUGAGACUAAUACUCUUGGAUAGUGGACGUUACUCGCAGAAUAAGCACCGGCUAACUCUGUGCCAGCCGCCGCGGUAAAAC